UACGUAGGCAGCGAGCGUUGUUCGGAGUUACUGGGCGUAAAGGGUGUGUAGGCGGUUCUCUAAGUUUGGUGUGAAAUCUCCCGGCUCAACCGGGAGGGUGCGCCGAAAACUGGAGGGCUAGAGUGCGGGAAGGGAGAGUGGAAUUCCUGGUGUAGCGGUGAAAUGCGUAGAUAUCAGGAGGAACACCGGUGGUGCAGACGGCUCUCUGGACCGCGACUGACGCUGAGACACGAAAGCGUGGGUAGCAAAC
rnacentral:rRNA from 1 species